GGAGGAUCCAUGUACCUUCCUCUGCCAAAGCCCAGACAAGCAAACAAGCCAUUUCUCAAGAGAAACAAAGGCCUCAUCAUGUGUUUCUUCUGGAUCAGACUCAACAUGAUGCCAAGACCUGGAGUGUUGCAGCCCUCGUGUGCCACAGAGACUAUUAAGAUAAUGCCAUGGAAACAUAGAAAGUACACACCUGAGAUACGUUUCAGCUGCAAACCACCUACCUUGGCCUGCUGUGUCUGAGAGGAAGUCAACUCCUUAUUUGCUACCACUUCUUGUAAGAUGUUCUAUGGAUGAUCAUUUUCCAUGUACUGUGUUACACUUAAUACAUAGCCUCUUUCCUGCCAUCAGGCACAACCCAGAAGCACACCAGCCAAGGACAAACCAAGGGUGACAAUACUCAAACAGUGUCAAGGACUUCCCUCUCCAGCCUUACAAAAGUCAAACUGAUCCUGGAGGAUGAGGGAAGCAUGGUAAAACCUGCCCUCAAAUGUCACAUUCAAGUGAAUGGAAAUUCUGCAAACCAUGCCCUCACAGGGCACGUGAUUAAAGGAAUUAAAAUAAC